ACAGGCUUAACACAUGCAAGUCGAGGGGCAGCAUGGUCUUAGCUUGCUAAGGCCGAUGGCGGCCGGCGCACGGGUGAGUAACACGUAUCCAACCUGCCGUCUACUCUUGGACAGCCUUCUGAAAGGAAGAUUAAUACAAGAUGGCAUCAUGAGUCCGCAUGUUCACAUGAUUAAAGGUAUUCCGGUAGACGAUGGGGAUGCGUUCCAUUAGAUAGUAGGCGGGGUAACGGCCCACCUAGUCUUCGAUGGAUAGGGGUUCUGAGAGGAAGGUCCCCCACAUUGGAACUGAGACACGGUCCAAACUCCUACGGGAGGCAGCAGUGAGGAAUAUUGGUCAAUGGGCGAGAGCCUGAACCAGCCAAGUAGCGUGAAGGAUGACUGCCCUAUGGGUUGUAAACUUCUUUUAUAAAGGAAUAAAGUCGGGUAUGGAUACCCGUUUGCAUGUACUUUAUGAAUAAGGAUCGGCUAACUCCGUGCCAGCAGCCGCGGUAAUACGGAGGAUCCGAGCGUUAUCCGGAUUUAUUGGGUUUAAAGGGAGCGUAGAUGGAUGUUUAAGUCAGUUGUGAAAGUUUGCGGCUCAACCGUAAAAUUGCAGUUGAUACUGGAUAUCUUGAGUGCAGUUGAGGCAGGCGGAAUUCGUGGUGUAGCGGUGAAAUGCUUAGAUAUCACGAAGAACUCCGAUUGCGAAGGCAGCCUGCUAAGCUGCAACUGACAUUGAGGCUCGAAAGUGUGGGUAUCAAACAGGAUUGGAUACCCUGGUAGUCCACACGGUAAACGAUGAAUACUCGCUGUUUGCGAUAUACUGCAAGCGGCCAAGCGAAAGCGUUAAGUAUUCCACCUGGGGAGUACGCCGGCAACGGUGAAACUCAAAGGAAUUGACGGGGGCCCGCACAAGCGGAGGAACAUGUGGUUUAAUUCGAUGAUACGCGAGGAACCUUACCCGGGCUUAAAUUGCAGAUGAAUUACGGUGAAAGCCGUAAGCCGCAAGGCAUCUGUGAAGGUGCUGCAUGGUUGUCGUCAGCUCGUGCCGUGAGGUGUCGGCUUAAGUGCCAUAACGAGCGCAACCCUUGUUGUCAGUUACUAACAGGUUCCGCUGAGGACUCUGACAAGACUGCCAUCGUAAGAUGUGAGGAAGGUGGGGAUGACGUCAAAUCAGCACGGCCCUUACGUCCGGGGCUACACACGUGUUACAAUGGGGGGUACAGAGGGCCGCUACCACGCGAGUGGAUGCCAAUCCCCAAAACCUCUCUCAGUUCGGACUGGAGUCUGCAACCCGACUCCACGAAGCUGGAUUCGCUAGUAAUCGCGCAUCAGCCACGGCGCGGUGAAUACGUUCCCGGGCCUUGUACACACCGCCCGUCAAGCCAUGGGAGCCGGGGGUACCUGAAGUGCGUAACCGCGAGGAGCGCCCUAGGGUAAAACUGGUGACUGGGGCUAAAUC
rnacentral:rRNA from 1 species